AGAGUUUGAUUAUGGCUCAGGAUGAACGCUGGCGGCGUGCUUAACACAUGCAAGUCGAACGAGGUCCAACCUUCGGGUGAAGACCGAGUGGCGAACGGGUGAGUAACACGUGGGGAACCUGCCCUUCUCUCUGGGAUAACCUCGGGAAACCGAAGCUAAUACCGGAUACUCCUUGCGGACCGCAUGGUCUGCUCGGGAAAGCUCCGGCGGAGAAGGAUGGCCCCGCGGCCCAUUAGCUUGUUGGUGGGGUAACGGCCCACCAAGGCGACGAUGGGUAGCCGAGCUGAGAGGCUGAUCGGCCACACUGGGACUGAGACACGGCCCAGACUCCUACGGGAGGCAGCAGUGGGGAAUCUUGCGCAAUGGGCGAAAGCCUGACGCAGCAACGCCGCGUGCGGGAUGAAGGCUCUCGGGUCGUAAACCGCUUUCAGCAGGGAUGAAAAUGACAGUACCUGCAGAAGAAGCCCCGGCUAAAUACGUGCCAGCAGCCGCGGUAAUACGUAUGGGGCAAGCGUUAUCCGGAUUCAUUGGGCGUAAAGCGCGCGUAGGCGGCUUGUUAAGUCAGGCGUGAAAUCCGGGGGCUCAACCCGCGGCUUGCGUCUGAAACUGGCAGGCUUGAGUCUGGUAGAGGAAAGUGGAAUUCCUGGUGUAGCGGUGAAAUGCGCAGAUAUCACGAGGAACACCAGUGGCGAAGGCGGCUUUCUGGGCCACGACUGACGCUGAGGCGCGAAGGCUAGGGGAGCGAACAGGAUUAGAUACCCUGGUAGUC
rnacentral:rRNA from 1 species